UCCCUGGAGGACUAGUGGUUAAGCCUCGGCACUCUCCCCGCCACGGCUUGCGUUCAAUUCCCGGCUAGGGAA
rnacentral:tRNA from 1 species